UUAUUUUUUCUUUUCUACUGAUUCAUUUCUAGCCGCUUCUUUUCUUCUUAUCACUCUCACUCACAGCAGCAGCGAUUCAUCAUCCACCCACACCACCUCCUUCAUGAUUUUAAUUACACCACCAAGUUACCAACGAACACAACCACAAGCAACUGAACCAUGGAAGAACCAAGUCAAGACACACCUACACACAAACUGAAUUUGGAUCAUCUAAUGUAACUAGUCAAUCUACACCUGGAGUUGGAGCUCAAUCUACACCUCCUAAUGAAGUUACAAUUAUAGAAGAUAAUAAAAACAAAGAGAAGCCUAAAGUUACAUCCGAUGUAUGGAAUCAAUUCACAAGGGUAAGUGCAGAGAGAGCAAAAUAUCAUCAUUGUUUGCGCACCUUUGCUACUAACUCAGGCAUAAAUGGCACUUUUGGCUUGUGGGCUCAUUUGGAUAGAUGCCGUAAAAAUCCAAACACGAAGAAGAAAGGACAGAAAAGUUUGAUGUUUUCUCCCCCCAAACCAGGUCAACAUAGUCAGUUGGUUGCUUCUAUUUAUAAUCCUGAAAAGUGUAUAAGGGUGUGUUACGGUGGUUUUUAGCUUAGUUUUAAAAUCUUAAAACCUUGCAUCAGAUGUGA